GGGGAAAUAACUCUCAUAUGGAGCGUUCAUAUUGCUUCGGUCGAAAUUGGACAAAUCAUGUGAAGGAUAUAACGAGCAAUUUUAUAAAAUAAAUUUGUCGUAAUCUUUUACGGUUGCGAAGGAGUUGUGGACACAAGGAAAACAGUGUUUGGGGAGAUAACUCCUACAAAGAAAAGUAUUCGGUUACGCAGGGUAAAUUUCAAAAGCGCAUAAACUGUUCGAUAUCAUAUACCAAAUAUCUAAGCGACAUAUUGCGAAACAAAUAUUUAUCGCAAGAACAAAAUUAGGCGGAAGAAAAAAAAAAUAAUCAGAAGAAAAACAAUAGGUCUUUCCACAGAAAAGUGGAAAGACCUAAUUA
rnacentral:lncRNA from 1 species